AUGGCAAGCAGCAAGUCCUGUGGGUGAAUGAGGAGGUGGGUCUCUCCCUUCCUCUGGGAUCUCACAGCAGAAGGAACACAGAACGUUCCGAGCAGAAAGAGGUCAGGGGUGGCUGCCCGUUCCAACGGAGGUUGGAGCCCAGGGGCUUUGUCUAUGGCCCUGCUGAUGUCGCUUGUACCUUUCCUGUCCUGUCCUGGGGAUAACAGGGUGGUAUGGAGCCUGGGAGCCUGACGGACCUGAGAGGCUGACGUACACACCAGAAUUCAUGGGUACAGCGUGGCUGGCACUCAGGUUGGAAUGUUGCUGCCCAGCCGCUGAGCGUAUCCUUUCCUAUUUGGCAGCUGAAGAAAGAAGCUGCAACCAAGCCACUGCCUGACAAGAGGCCACCAACAAUCAUGACUGGACGACUGCCGUAUUUAUUCACCAGGACACUGCUGAUAGGACCUAAGAGACAACCAGAAUUUAGUGG